rnacentral:rRNA from 1 species
UUUAUUGGAGAGUUUGAUCCUGGCUCAGGACGAACGCUGGCGGCGUGCCUAAUACAUGCAAGUCGAGCGAGGGUCUUCGGACCCUAGCGGCGGACGGGUGAGUAACACGU